rnacentral:lncRNA from 10 species
CGUGCACGACCUCCAGAUCCUCGACUUUCCACCCAUCAGCGCCUUCCCUGUCAAUACGCUCCAGAUGGAGUCUCCCUCUGUCGCCCAGGCUGGAGUGCAGUGGCACGAUCUCGGCUCACUGCAAUCUUCGCCUCCCGGGUUCAAGCGAUUCUCCUGCCUCAGCCUCCUGAGUAGCUGGAUUACAGGCACCUGCGACCACACCCAGCUAAUUUUUGUAUUUUUAGUAGAGAUGGGGUUUCACCAUGUUGGCCAGGCUGGUCUCAAACUCCUGACCUCAAGUGAUCCGCCUGCCUAGGCCUCCCAAAGUACUGGGAUUAUAGGCAUGAGCCACCACGCCUGGUCUCUUAUCCAUACUUUCAGU